UGGGACCUCAUCUUAAUUGGUUUUUCAGCAUAAGAUGUUUUUCCUUCUAGGUUGUGAGUAUGUAAUUCUGAAGAAAUUGCAGGAAAAGUCAAACAAGAACACAGCCUUUCCUGGUAGAGCUGAGUUCCCCAGGGUACACAAUGAGCUAUUCCUUUUCCUGAGGAUAUUGAACCAGUACUUAGAACUUAUCAACAGGAAACAGGUCAGGAGCCCUGGAAUAGCAGGAAGUUCAAGAAGGAUGAUGGGCAGAUUUUAUUUGGGGGAUCCAAGAAGACUGUGAACCAAGCACAAGGGUUUAGCAGGUUGUCUCAGGAGCAGUCUUAAAAUUCGGGAGUUACUUUCUCUGUAGAGAGAUUCUUGUGGUUUCCAAAAGGUGCAAAAAGCAGAAAAAUCUUACUUAAAUGGUAUAUGACUUUUGUACAAGGCUCGUUUUAUUAAGAGAUUUUUUCAGACUCUAGGCGCACCUAUUUAUUAUUCUACUAAUUAUUUCAAUGUGUUUUUAAAAAUAUAUUUAGUACACUUUAUUAAUACCUCGUGACAAAGCCUGUUCACAUUUGUAGGACAGAUAUUUUUUCUUUUCCUUUAAAAAAAAAAAAAACUCCAUGAGAUGAAUCAGUGACCCAAUUCAUCACUGGUGAACUAGGAUAUAAAACUGGUUAUCUCCAUGCUAACAUCUUUAAAAAGCCUUGGUAUCCUGGGCAAAAAGCAACCUGCAGGGAAAACUUUUCCACAUAGCCAUCUGUGUGGAAGCAGAGUUGCUACUGAGGAGACUUUUAGGAGUGUACGUCAACUGCAGUGUAGAUAAAAUUCUAACUUGUAAAUACAGCAUCAUAUACUAGCUGGAUAACAUCAGCUGGAGGAUGUUUGCCUUUUGUUUCACUGUGCUUUUUCUAAGGAGAAUUGUAAAUGCUUCCUAUCCUUUCUCUAAACAUAGCUCUGUGACAAUACUUUGAAGAUUCUUUAAGACAAACAGUCUUUACCACUGAAAAUCGCUAUUGUUUCUCCUUUAUUCCAGGUUAUUAUAUUUAGCGGCCAGCUGCCAGUUGUGAUAACCAAACACAGGAGAAAACUUAUAUGGUUUUGGGGCAUCAGCAGAAAACUAGAGAAAAUUCCUUUUGUUGAUACUUCUACCAUUAAGCUCCAGGUCAAAGGUAAAUAAAACAAACAAAAAACAAAACCAAAAAAUGAGGACAUGUUCUUCCCAUUCUUCCAAGGCUUUCCCCAUUGUAAAAAGACCUUUAAGUAUCAGAAAUUUUAUUUUUAUUUAAAUGAUUUCGACUGCCU
rnacentral:lncRNA from 1 species